CAGGAGCUGGUCAAUGUCAUUACCCCUGAACUUGGAUAUGGGAAUACCGGUGCAGA
rnacentral:ncRNA from 1 species